AGUGGUGACUGGGUGGGGAGAAGGGAAGCGCACUUAUAUAGACUCAUGUAUAAAUAGAUACUUGUAAUAUACGAGCAUCUGCUCUGUGGAAGAUGUUUUUUUCCAGGCCCAGAAGUGUAAGAUCCGGUGCCUAUCUUCAGGCGGGUGGCAAACAAACAUCACAUAAAGGAGAGUGUCUGGCUUGUGUCUUCUGGGUACGUGAUCCCCCUGACUUCAGUGUGAGAAUGUGGCCAGAGCGUCUGGGGAAGACAGGGAGAGUUGUCAGAGAGGAGUUUUGAGGAGGCCCUGAAGGCUCGCCGGCUGUUAAGGCCUGAGCUGUAGUGGGCAAGAAGAGAUGGCCAGUUCAGGUAGAGGAAGCCUGCUUUGAGCUGAAGACCGGAGGUGAAUCUGGACAGGGCUUCCCAGGACCAGUAUUUUUCCCUCUCCACCCUGGUCUUCUCCUGUAACGUGUGGCCGCCUUUUCCAGCACGGCCUCCUGCCUUCCUGGUGCACUUUUUGGAGAACGUGGUGGAAUCAGAGGUUUCUGGCUGACUCGGUGGGUGCUUUGAACCAGGAAAGGACAAGAAAGAGGAUGGGAAGGACUGAUCCACAUUCCCACCAGGAAGUUUAGCAGAACCCCCGCGUGCCACCUGGACCCCUUGGAAGGACCUGGCUCAGGCUGGACCACCUCUUGAGAGGCAGGAGCUCUGGAUUUGAUCAAGAAUUCUUUGCUGAGCAUGGUGCCUCAUGCCUAUAAUCCCAACACUUUGGGAGGCCAGUGUGGGAGGAUCUCUUGAGCCCAGGAGUUCAAGACUAGCCUGGGCAACACAGAGAGACCCCAUCUCUAAAAUAAUAAUAAUAAUAAAAUAAAAAAUUAGCAGGGCAUGGUGGCAUGUGCCUGUAGUCCCAGCUACCCAGGAGGCUGAGGCAAGAGGAUGGCUGGAGCCUGGGAUGUUGAGGCUGCAAUGAACUGUGAUUACCCCACUGCACUCCAGCCUGGGCAAAAGAGCGAGAGACCCUGUCUCAAAUAAUAAUAAUAAUAAUAAUCUUAUUUUGGAGAAUAAAGAGACCUCUGGAUUUGAGGUGCCAUUUGGGUAGAAAGAAAAGACGUUUACACCGAGAAAUAGUCUGUGUUGCCCUGAAGGAGCAGAGGGAUGCAUCGCUGGAGGUGACCUACAGUUGAAGAAGACUCAUUAUGACAGACCUUGUCCUUCUUCCUUGUGGAAAGUGUUUCCUCUGCUGCUACUGCUCAUGAGACUCUUCCCCCUCCCUGUCCCAGGGAACCAAAGGGCUUUCUACCACACCCUUUCUUGCCCCCCGCCUCCCAUGUCUGCUGUGCCUUUGUACUCAGCAAUUCUUGUUUGCUCCAUUAUCUUCCAGCCGGAUACAGAGUGAAUAGUUAACCACACUUAGGUCAAAUAGGAUCUAAAUUUUUGUUCCUGCUCCGUGUAAAGAGGCCAGUGUUUGUGUGUUGCAAGCAGCCUUGGAAUAGUAACUCUUCUCAUUUGUUUGGGAUCUGGCCACCAAGUUCCAGAAUGAUACACGGAUCAGUGCAGAAGUUCAUCAGGCUCUCGGACCUUAGGGCUGUUGGAGAAGGCUUCAGCAGCAGAACUGAUGGUGAAGGCUCGUGUUCUCCAUCCUCAACUUUCUUUGCUUCGAUCAUACACAAGAAUACAUUUGGAAGGGCAAAAAAUGAACACUGUCGUUCAUUGCAGCCGUGUUUUGUGACACAGAUGCACAGUCUGCUGUGAAGACCUUCUCUCAAGUGGCAUUUGGGAGUCCAUGCCAGAUCAUGGUGCUUCAUGAGAGACUGACAGCUAUCAGGGGUUGUGGCACUUAGUGAGGACUCUCCUCCCCCAGUGUGUGCUGAUGACACAUACACACCUGACAAUAGCUUGAGUCUUCUCUGUUCCUUUUACUCUGUAGCCAACAUACACAUGAUUUAAAACCCUUUCUAAAUAUCUAUCAUGGUUCAUCCUUGUCCAAAUGCAGAGUCAGAGCUAUUUGUACUUCAUUAUUAUUUCCAAGGCGAAUAGUUGGCUUUCUUUUUGCAAAAAUAAUUAAAGUUUUUGUAUGUUGCA
ensembl:lncRNA LINC00511 long intergenic non-protein coding RNA 511